AAGGAGCUAUGCUUUUAAAGUGUGAAAGCUUGGCGGCAAGUGUUGCUGUGAUGUGAUUUCUGCUCAGUGCUCUGAAUGUCAAAGUGAAGAAAUUCAGUGAAGCUUGGGUAAACAGCGGGAAUAAUGCUGACUCUCUUCAGAUAGCCAAAUGUCUGGUCAUGUAAUUAGUGACAUGCCUGAAUGGAUGAACAAGAUUCUU
rnacentral:ncRNA from 1 species